rnacentral:rRNA from 1 species
UACGUAGGGUGCAAGCGUUAAUCGGAAUUACUGGGCGUAAAGCGUGCGCAGGCGGUGAUGUAAGACAGAUGUGAAAUCCCCGGGCUCAACCUGGGAACUGCAUUUGUGACUGCAUCGCUGGAGUGCGGCAGAGGGGGAUGGAAUUCCGCGUGUAGCAGUGAAAUGCGUAGAUAUCGGGAGGAACACCAGUGGCGUAAGCGAUCACCUGGGCUAGACCUGACGCUGAGGGACGAAGGCGUGGGGAGCAAACGGG